UACGACAAGUGAAAAGUCAUCAUUAUACAUACCCCAGUCUUAUGAAUGUAACAGUUUUAAUAAACAUAAUAAAACUUUUAACAACGGAUCUCUUGGUUCUCGCAUCGAUGAAGAACGCAGCGAAAUGCGAUAAGUAAUGUGAAUUGCAGAAUUCAGUGAAUCAUCGAAUCUUUGAACGCACCUUGCGCUCCUUGGUAUUCCGAGGAGCAUGCCUGUUUGAGUGUCAUGAAACUCUCACCCUUCAACUUUCUUAAUAGUGGUUGGAGGCGUGGACUUGAGCGCUGCUGGUUUUUAUUAACCGGCUCGCUUGAAAUGAAUUAGCAGAUCCUUUUGUAAUCGGUUCCACUCGACGUGAUAAGUAUUUCGCCGAGGACAUCUUAACGGAUGGCCGAGAUAAAGAAAGUCUUUAGAUCCGCUUCUAAUUCUUAGCCUUACGCAAGUAAGCUAAACCCAUUUUAUGAUCUGGCCUCAAAUCAGGUAGGACUACCCGCUGAACUUAA
rnacentral:rRNA from 1 species